rnacentral:lncRNA from 1 species
UACACAAGUGUACGGAAAUGUACAAUGUGAUGGCAAGGCAAAAUAUCUGGACAUUGUGUAUACCACCUGGUCAAGAAAUAGUUAUUAGUUUUUUUAUUGUUUGAACACCAUCGUUCAAUUAAUAUGUGCCCAUGAUAAUAAGAUGGGGUUUCUAAGGAUUAACUCUGUCAAAUUUGACUUCUGUAGGUAGAACAUAUAGCAGUAUAACUGUUGCAUCGGUACAAGACAUCUAUCAAUAUCUGAUUCCAUUUCAUUGUGUAAUUUAGCUGAAAACUAACGACACCAUGCUUUCACCGAGCAGACCGGAAUAGCGGUGGCAUAAAAGCUCAUGCGAGGAGAAAAACAUGACCAGGAUAUUUGCAUAGCCCGCCCCAAGCCUGUCACAUGCAGCAAGAUUGUUAUGCAAAUUCAAAAUGGUAUUUAGUUCAUUGUUUCAGGCCUGAAGCGAACCUGCAGUAUGUAUAAUGCUUAUCCUCCCAAUG